rnacentral:SRP_RNA from 1 species
CGGUGGGUCUUAGGCGGGGGGGUAGGGGUCCCCUGCACCGUAAACCCUCUACAUGACGGGCUGACAGCUGUGGCUGAGGCGUCAAAGGCCGCCUAGACCUUCCUUUCCGAAACAGUGACUAUCCGUCCCUUGGGGCUGGCGGUCAAUGAGCAGUUUCCGUAGGGAAGCUGUCUUCAUUGUUUGCCAGGCGAACCUGGCUAGGCUCGGGAGAGAGCAACCUAAGUCUGGACGUUCAGCGCUCAAGGGGGGUGCGGGUAAGAGCGUAGGGCUUGAAGGCGCUGGGCGGAGUCUAGGCGUCGAACCACAGUGGCCCACCG